UCGAGAAUUUUUCUCAAUGGGCGAAAGCCUGAAGGAGCGACGCCGCGUGGGGGAUGAAUGGCUUCGGCCCGUAAACCCCUGUCAUUUGCGAACAAAUUGACUCACUUAACACGUGUGUCAUUGAUUGUAGCGGAAGAGGAAGGGACGGCUAACUCUGUGCCAGCAGCCGCGGUAAUACAGAGGUCCCAAGCGUUGUUCGGAUUCACUGGGCGUAAAGGGUGCGUAGGCGGUCGGGUAAGUCUGACGUGAAAUCUCCGGGCCUAACCCGGAAACUGCGUUGGAUACUGUCUGGCUAGAGGAAUGGAGGGGAGACUGGAAUACUUGGUGUAGCAGUGAAAUGCGUAGAUAUCAAGUGGAACACCAGUGGCGAAGGCGAGUCUCUGGACAUUUCCUGACGCUGAGGCACGAAAGCCAGGGGAGCAAACGGGAUUAGAUACCCCCGUAGUCC
rnacentral:rRNA from 1 species